rnacentral:miRNA from 1 species
GUGUGUGUGUGUGUGUGUGUGUGUGUGUCGGUCUGUCCAUCCAUGCACACACGCAUGCGC